GGAUUCCCSGAGUAGCGGCGAGCGAAACGGGAAGAGCCCAGCGCUGAAUCCUGCCGCCCAGGCGGGCGGCCGGGAAAUGUAGCGUUCGGUAGGAGAGCAAAACUUAAACGCGCGGUCAUUAGUCACGGCUGCCAGUCCAAGUUCAUCUUGAACGGGGCCGCUUACCCGCAGAGGGUGCCAGGCCCGUGGUGACGGUAGCCGGCCGCGACGGUCUCCCUACCCAGAGUCGGGUUGCUUGAGAGUGCAGCCCUAAGCGGGUGGUAAACUCCAUCUAAGGCUAAAUACUACCACGGGACCGAUAGCGAACA
rnacentral:rRNA from 1 species